CUCGUAAAUGCUCUUUCCUACCUACUGCGCAUAAAUUUGAUUUGAGCAUCGGAGGGUUCUCGUUAGAUCCACCGGAGCCACUUCCGAUGAAACUUUUCUUGCAAGUCCAGCCAUCGUCGACCCAUCAGACGUUAUCUAGCUCUAGCGCUUCCGGCCACGGAUAAAUUUUUGCGUCAACAGAUUGGCGCUAGGAGGGUCGAGCUCCCUCGCACUCGCGUCAACCGGCCAUGUGACUGCCCACCUUUGGAAA
rnacentral:lncRNA from 1 species